rnacentral:lncRNA from 1 species
AUAUUCCAAAAGUGAUUCUUUUAAAAAUAUAGUCUAUUAGAAAAUCUUAUAGGAUUUGUGGUGGCUUGAUAUUCUGAUUCUUGUUUUCCUCUUGACUAACCUCAGGACAUUGGUCACAGCUGCCUCUACCUGGAGAAAUGCUUGAGGCCCUGAAAAAGUUAAUGCAAGGAAAUUGCCUUAGGGGAGUCCAUAAAGGAAUUCCAGGUAUGUCAUGGAAAUCAGGGUGCUGUUUCCCUGGCAACCUCAGUCUUCUAUGCGCAUCCAACUCUCUGGCGGUAUCCAGAUCACUGGGAAAGUUUCCUCAAAAUUGGUGAUAUACCUGGUUUUCAGCUAUUCUAUGAACUCCUUCCUAUCUCGGUUGUCAAGGAGAUCCACUGCAUCUGUAAACAGGUGGAGAUUAUAG